UCCUGCCUCAGCCACCCGAGUGCUAGGAUCGCAGAUGAAGCGAUUGAGGACCAGAGAGAUGGAGCAGCCCAAAGCCACACCACUGGCAAGCCUCGGAGUAGGGAUUUAAACACAGGCCCUCCGACUGCUCUCCAAGGGGUCAGGAGUGUGUCAGGGCUUCAAACACUGGGGCAGCCAGGCGCAGUGGUGCUCGCCUGUAGUCUCAGCCUUUGGGAGGCUGAGGCAGGAGGAUCUCCUUGACUUCAAGACCAUC